AGGAGCCUCUGCUUUCCCACACCUGGGGUCUCCUGGGUAUUCCGCACUGCUCACCUGUCUACCCCUCCGGGGCCUAGCACCCCAUCAGUGUCUCCAUCACUGCUGCAUCCCUGGUGCCUGGCACAUAGUAGGUGCUCAGUAAUGGCCGCUAAAUGAGCAGUAAAUACUUGCCGCACUUUGCCCUGGGCAGUGUUCCCACAGCUUCUCUAAAUGACCUUAUUUCAAUUUCACAGCUGUCCUCGAGGCGGGCAAAACUAGUGUAUGCAUUUGAUAGGUGGGAAGACUGAGGCCCCGAGAGGUUCAGUGACUUCCCCAAGGUCACAUGGCGAGUCAGCGGUAGAGCUGCGAUCUGAACCUGACUCUGGAACUGCACUCCACGCUCCCUUACCUAUUCCCGGUGGCCUCGGCUCUGAAGGGCAGGAACUGGGUCCUGUGCCCCUUGGAACCUCCACCAUAUAUACCAUCAUGUAAACGUGUUUGUUGAGUGAAUAAAUGAGUGAAUUAUGCACUCCUUGUCCUUUAAAACACAGUACAGUCAACCAGUCUGCUGGCACAAAUCUGGAGUGUUUCUGGUCGGGGAUGAAGGGGAGAGAGGAGUGAAUCUCCUGGGGGACCCAGAGGUGACAAGCCUCUCAGUAGUUCCAACUCGGGGGCCAUUACUAGGGACCCUCUGAUCUCCCCCCCCCUCCUUGCUCACCAGUCUGUUAUAUUGGGGUUCUCUGUCAUGUAUACAGAGGGCACAGAGCCAUGAUUUGGUUUUAUGUGGUGUCUUGAGACUUUCCAGUGAGAUAAGUGGAUUACUGUUGACCCAACAUCUGGGCAAAAAGAGCCUGCUAUGCGUGGUCAUCCAAGUCAGCUUCUGGAGGUGGCCAAAGUGAGACAUGAAGGGAAGGGGGCCAUGAUGGACCCUGCACCUGUGGCCAGUGAGAGCAGCAUUUGCUGUAUGCAAGUAUGGUUCUGAGCUCUUGACGCAUUUAAUCCUGAGCACAGCUCCACGAAAUUGUGCCGGUGAAUGAGGCCAAGUAAUGUGCCCAAAGUCACACAGCAGCAGGAGUUGGGCAGGGAAUUCAGCCUUCACCACGCCGUGCCCUUAACCCUGGGGCAACGCUGCUUCCCUGUGGCACAGCGGGCUAACCCGCUGUGAGCACAUGAGUGGGUGUUGGGGGAGAAUCCACGGAUCUGCACUGCCUGGUGCCUCCUACAGGGGGCUACGGCCCAUGGGCCCCCGAUUCAUCCGCAUCAGAUGACGUCCCCUUCUCACUCCCGUGGAGCGUGGCUGGGCCCCGAGUACGCACUCCAAACACAUUCAUAAAACCAGUGACCGAACAGACGUCUGGGGGUGGGGGGAACAGCCAUUAUGGAAGUUCGAGGCCUUGGAGUUCACACCCUCACAAUCCUACGUGUGCAUCCACUUCUCCCAAAUACAUCAUCUCAGAUCUGCUUGAGAAGAGAUGUCCAAUGCCAGCUCCGUGGCCCAUUAAAGCUAACCAGCCGUGCGGAGUUAGCGGAAAUGAUGAAAAUAGUUGAAGGGUCGGGUGGUUUUAUGGGAAGGCUUACAUCUUAAUGAAAUGCCAGCCCAGAGCAACAGUGACCAUGUGAGAUGCCACAAAGCUGGCAGAUCCCUGGCCACUCCUCGCUGCUUUUGCCAUUUUCGAUGUGAAGCGGGUGUGGCUUGGCUCAGGUGACCACCAGGGAACCAGGGAGGCCUCGGGGCCUCCGUGUGACCCCAGAGGUCAUCCAGGAGCCAGAAGAAGAUGGGCCAGGGCUGAUCAGGGCAGUGGUAGAGAAAAGCAACACCAUUUCCCACUCCAAUGGCAAAGUCCAGGCCCUCUAGGAAUCAUUCAGAUAAGUAAAGGCAGCGGGCAGUUAGACGCUUCCUACUUGUUUAAUCUUCCCAGGAAUCAGUUCAGGUGAGACUUACUGUCUCCAUCUUAUGCACGAAGGAACUAAACAGGCUCCGAGAGGCCAAGUGCCUCACCAAAGGCCACACAGCGGGUAGGUGACAGAUAUCACAGGAUUAGGACCAAAGCGGGUUCCAUUACUCACGUUCCAAGAGGAAGCACUGCCCAACAUCAGGAGGGAACCCCAAAUAUGGCCUCAGGGUGGUCAGUGCUUUCUUAACAGUAUGGUUUUGCCAGGACCUCCACUCAAGGUCUAGGACUCUGCCUCCGACUGCCUGAUCUCCCAGAACUUUGAGCCGCUGGGUCUGUCACUCCAGGUAAGCCCCCGUGGCCACGGACGAGACGAUGGAGCCCUUGGCUCGCUGCCAGCUGGCCUCAGAAUGUGGCUCAGCAAGACCCGCGAGGGACCCGUACCUCCCCACGCUGUGUGCCAGCCUGGCCUGUCACAGCCUGCAGCCAAGCUCCCGGGUCCUUCACCCAGGGAGCCCAGGGGACCAGCCCCUCAUGCUGCCACUGAUACCUUACAGCCUUGAAAUUCUAAAAACCUAGAAAAUCACAGCACGGUACAAACGAAACGAAAGUCACCCAUAAUCUCACCACCUGGAAUGAACCACUCUGCCUUUUUGUGAAUUUUCUACUGGUCGUUUUUUCAAGGCAUUUUGUGUUAGCUUUUUCGUGACCACUGUUUCAUGAGCAUCCUUCUGCCUCAUGUUUUAAAAACUCUACUUUUGUUUUUUGAGAGAGAGAGAGAGACAGAGAGAGAGAGAGAGAGAGAGAGAGAGAGACAGCAGGAGCCAGGGAGGGGCAGAGGAAGAGACGGAGAGACUCUUAAGCAGGCUCCACAUUUAGCGUGGAGCCCCAAUGUGGGGCUUCGAUCUUGCGAUGCUGGGAUCACGACCUGACACAGAACCAAGAGUCAAUGCUCAACCGACUGAGCCUCCCAGGCGUUCUCCUUUUUAAUCACUCCCUUCAACACCAGUAUGUGGCUGGGAUGUAAAUCAUGAAUGGAAACCCCUAUUUUCAGAGAGCAGUGUUCUUGCUGACACUUGGGGGUGCGAGAGCUAUGUUGUCAGCCGUUUCCUCGUUUCCGUCUACGAGGAGAUCCUUCAGGAGUAUUGCAAGAGGCAGAAUUAUGGGUCAGAACUGUGGACACUUCGGGGGCCCCUUCGUUACAAAUGCCCACACCGCCCUCCGGUCUGCAGUCCCCAGGCUGCGAUGAGCGUGUUCCCUGUGUUACCAGGCAGCCACGCACAGCCAUCUCCCCUCCUGCAAACACUCCCCUUCUGAGGGAAUGUCCUCACUCCUCUGCUGACUCAGCCUUCGGUGGGAGCCUCCCUUACCAGCUCAGGGUGGACACAUAGCCCUCUGAGUUUAGAAUCCUGAGCCGAAUGGCUGCAAGGUCGAGAAGCCAUGGGACACACCUUUGCAUGUGCGUGUAGGCUCUCCAGGCGUUCUUAGCGCGGCCAAAGCUUGAAAACACCACAGGGAUCCAAACAGGGCACGGUGCUAAAUAGGUUUGCAAUAUUUUGUCACCUGGAAAACGCCUACACCUGUGGCUGAGUUAUUCCAACAGAGGCAACACGCCUGUUUGCCAGUUCCUCUCCUGAGCCCCCGUCGUGCUGGCCUGGCUCCCGCUUGCACUAGGCCGCCCUGACCCUCACCCCACCUCUAAUCCUCUUGGGAUGAUUUUGGCCAAAGCUCUUCCUGUCUCUUGAACCCGGAAAGCUGCCUGAUAGCCCAGCCAUAGGCACUUCCUGGACUGCCGAGCGUCUGGGACACGCUGCAGAAGCCUGACAGAUUUAUGCUCUGCUUCUAGAGCAGUGGGUUUGGAGAGUUACACUGGGUGGGGCAGGGCACCGGUGAAAGGGAGAUGCAAAUGAAUCGUCUUAAAGAGCUUACCCAGGGAACAGCCGGCCGGCCCUGCAGUGAACAAUGAGGAUGGCUGGGGCGAAUUACCCGCUCAGCUGUCAUCCCUAAGCAGAGAAGUGUCAGAGGGGACCGGAGAGCCCAGGAAGCACGUAAGGAAAAAGCAAUCUGGGGCCCCCACCACCCAGGGAGGUGUGCUGGAGAGGGACAUCCACACCAACUUCCUGCCUGCCUUGCAGAGGCUGGAGAGCUCAUUCCCUGCAGCGAGGGCUUGGGAUGUCCUUCCCUGGGCUUUUCAGGGCCCUCGCAUAGUCAUGGGUCAAUGUGCCCCGCUGCCCGCCCCGCUUCCCCAGCCCAGGCCCUUCCCUGCUCUUAUGCCUCAUCUCCUGUGUCUGGGAGGAGGGUCUGGCUUUUCCUCCAGCAGCAUCUGGGGGCCCAGCGCCAGCCUCUUGACCCCCACCUUCGUGACUGUGGCAGAGGCUGAUCCGGGCCAGUUCUGCAGUGCUGCUCUGGGCUGGUUCCUGAGGGCCUGGACCUCCAGACUUUCUGGUGAUGUCGGCAGGCUCCUGACCCCCUGUAUUACAACUCUUUCUGCUUAAUACAGCCGCGUGUUACGGACUGGAUGCUUGUGUCCCCCACAAUUCAUAUGUUGAAACCCUAACCCCAAUAUGAUGGGAUUUGGAGGUAAACAGGCUUAGAUGAAGCCAUGUGGGUGGAGCCCCCAUGGGAUUAGAGUCCUUACGAGAAGAGAAAGCGAGACCGACGACCCCGCUCCUCUCUCAGGCACGUGAGGGCACAGCAAGAAGCGGCUACGUGCCAGCCAGAAAGAGAACUCUCCGGAAACUGAACUCACCGACCCCCCUCACCUUGGACUCCCUAGCCUCCAGAACUGUGAGAAAUAAAUGUGUGUUGCUUACA